rnacentral:lncRNA from 1 species
GGGAAAUUUUCUCUCAGAGUUAAUAUUUCACCUUUAACCAGAGUGAUAUUUCUACACCUAAGACCAUUAAAGAUCCCUGACACUGUAUUUGAGAAAAGGGAUGUCUGUGUCAGAAUGUUCACUGUGAUCCUGGCAUUCUGUCUGAAUGCAUCCUGACAAAAUUGUGGGUCAUUUCCUGGAGCUGGUCUAUGUAGCCACGAAAGAUGCUUUUAAAUGUUUACCAUCCUUUGCAUCUGUGAUUAUGCAACAUGCUUGUCUGAGGAAGAAUUUUAAAUGAGCCUUUAGUUGUUUAGGAUGCACAGUGUGACCUAAAAAACUCUUCCACACUUGUCUCCUCCCCACAUCACAAAUUUCUGUGUCUCUACAUGGUGGCCUGGAUGGAGGAGGUGUGCACGUUGAUCCAGGGAAGCUGACCUAUGGACAAAGCCAAGAGGCAGAGGAGGCAGAGUGCCGAGAUUCACUGAGAAAUGGAGGUAAAUUCAUCGAUAGAGGGGACCACCCAAACUCUCCUACCUAGUGCUUCUAACUCAAUCUGUGUCCCUGCCUCUCUGGGGUCCUGACCGUGCCUGCAAGGUGGUUAAGGGAGAUGAAUAUGAGUAAAUAAAAUGAGUGUUUGUCUGAAACUGUGUUGGGGGAUUAAGCAUUGUGUUCUCCUUUUGAGGAGCAGCAUGCCAACUGGCAGGCCUUGGCUGACUACCUGGGCCGAGCAGAGAAAAGGAGAUGCUCACCCUUGUCGAAGAGAGGCCGGCUGCUUUGAAGGACACAGGGAGGCGAGCCUCUUCUCGCCCAGAAAAACCAGGUGCAGCUUCCUCAGCAGGGAAAGGUUAUGCUUCAUCUGACUUCGUUUUCUCUCUGCAAAUUAAAGGACAAUUUAUGAGUGUCUAGACAGGAAUUAAUCGGAAUAAUAUUGGCUGCUUUUGACCCGAGAGUGCUAUUACAAUAAAGUAUAUACAACACAAAUAUAGGACAAA